GGGCCUGUAGCUCAGGGGUAGAGCGCUCGCUUUGCAUAGCCCGGACAAACAGUCCAAGCUUCGUGCCUGCGAGAGGCCUAGGGUUCAAAUCCCUACCGGUCCA